UACGUAGGGCGCAAGCGUUAUCCGGAAUUAUUGGGCGUAAAGAGCUCGUAGGCGGUUUGUCGCGUCUGCCGUGAAAAGUCCGGGGCUCAACUCCGGAUCUGCGGUGGGUACGGGCAGACUAGAGUGAUGUAGGGGAGACUGGAAUUCCUGGUGUAGCGGUGAAAUGCGCAGAUAUCAGGAGGAACACCGGUGGCGAAGGCGGAUCUCUGGGCCGUAACUGACACUGAGGGACGAAAGCUAGGGGAGCGAAUGGG
rnacentral:rRNA from 1 species